rnacentral:rRNA from 1 species
AGAGUUUGAUCCUGGCUCAGGAUGAACGCUAGCGGUAGGCUUAAUACAUGCAAGUCGAGGGGCAGCACGGGUAGCAAUACUUGGUGGCGACCGGCGAAUGGGUGCGUAACGCGUAUGCAACCUACCUAUAACUGGGGCAUAGCUCAGAGAAAUCUGAAUUAAUUUCCCAUAAUACCAUUACUUGGCAUCAAGUUUUGGUUAAAGUUCUGACGGUUAUAGAUGAGCAUGCGUGACAUUAGCUAGUUGGUAAGGUAACGGCUUACCAAGGCUACGAUGUCUAGGGGUUCUGAGAGGAUACACCCCCACACUGGUACUGAGACACGGACCAGACUCCUACGGGAGGCAGCAGUAGGGAAUAUUGGGCAAUGGACGCAAGUCUGACCCAGCCAUGCCGCGUGCAGGAUGACAGCCUUAUGGGUUGUAAACUGCUUUUAUUCGGGAAAAAACUUUCGGACGUGUCCGGAAUUGAUGGUACCGUUUGAAUAAGCAUCGGCUAACUCCGUGCCAGCAGCCGCGGUAAUACGGAGGAUGCAAGCGUUAUCCGGAUUUAUUGGGUUUAAAGGGUGCGCAGGCGGAUUUGUAAGUCAGUUGUGAAAUCCUGUGGCUUAACUACAGAACUGCAAUUGAUACUGCAAGUCUAGAGUUUAGUUGAAGUGACUGGAAUGUGUCAUGUAGCGGUGAAAUGCAAAGAGAUGACACAGAACACCGAUAGCGAAGGCAGGUCACUAAGCUAAUACUGACGCUCAGGCACGAAAGUGUGGGGGAUCAAACAGGAUUAGAUACCCUGGUAGUCCACACUGUAAACGAUGAUAACUAGUUGU